UCGCCUCGUCUUCUCCAUGGAGCUCCCCUGCCGACGGCCCACGCCGGAGCUUUGGGCCGACCUCCCCUCCGGCAGCACGCGCCGGCCGAACCCAGUUGGCCGCGUCGGCAAUUUCAAUAUUGCGCUCUCACAGUCCGGCUCUGCUCGUGCCAAGCUCUAGGUAUACGUUCUAAUCCUCCUUGCAAAUCUUAGGCUGAAAUUGGAUGUGAUUUGCUUAAUUCCAGUAGUAGUUUCUGAGAAAUAUAUAUUUCAUAGCACGAGCACGUAGUAUGAGAGAUUAUUAGAGCAGUAGUUGUACGUACUACGACAUGUAUUUUGCCGUUGAUUGUACAAGUUCACAUGUACAUCUCUGAAUAAAGAAAAACCUUAUUGCUGAAGUUAUAGAACAGAGGUGGUGUUGUUCGACUUCCAUUAUGCAGUACCGUUUCUUGCAAAAUACUUCCAAUUUGAAUAGUUGUCGUUCAGUAUUUGCCUACCUCUAAUACCAUUCCUCACAAAAUACAUACACCUUUUUUAGUGUCUGAAUUUUAUUAUCUGUUGGUGAUCAGUUUUUCGUACUCCAGCUCUUGGAUGUGCUAUCCUCCCUUCUCACUCUCGGGCUCCAGCAGCAAAUGGACGAAAAGCAUCACGAAGCAGCUCAGCUCCAUCUUCUAUAGUUAUUUCUUGAAUCUGUGAUAUACUAUAUAAUGCAUUCUGUAGAAAACAGAAUGGUGUUCAUUGGAGCCUCUCUCUUGCUAUGUUUCUUCCAUUUGUUUCUGCUCUAAGAAAACUCCAUACUUGGAAAAUGUCUCUUCAUGACUUCUUCGAAGUUUUUUAUGUAGUUUUCAGUCUUGGGUGCGUGCAGUUUCUUCAUGUCACAUCUGAAAUUUGGGGCCAUGUAUGUACAUUGUAAUUAGCAGGGCCUUCCCUGUUUGUGAUACUAAAUGAGGUACCUCUAUAUAUAGGUUUGCACCGUGUCAUUUUUUCCUGUCAUUAAUUGAUCUUCAUACCAAGAAAAUCCUGUUGGAGGGUUAUCGUGCAUACUCUGGUUUUCAGUGCUUUUUAUGAGAAGAGGGUUUUCAAGUAAUUAUUUUUAUCGUUGAUCUGAACAACAAUAAUACUUUAGGAUUGAUCAACACCUGUGUAAUAUGUAGCCUGAGUUGUGGCUCAUGGUAGUACACCACAUGGUUGAGUACCUGAGAUGGAAAGCCAAUCAUUAAGAUUUUUUUUCCCGUAGACAAUUACUAAGUAUUUUGAACAUAUUUUUCCUGCCAUCUAUUUUUUUUGAAAUUGGUUGCUUGAUUAGAAAUACUGACUGUUAGUAUAUACUCCCUCGUCCCAAAAUUCUUGUUUUAUUCUAUUUGCAACAAUUGGCGAUUGGUAUGAGUACUUAUUGACAUAUCAGUCUAAGGUUUGAGCUUGUGAUGCAACUGUGAUUGUAUUGAACAGUGUCGAAUGAAUUCGUCAGUUAGAGCGUGCAUGUACUUGAGUGUUUGGUAGAUUUCUUCUCUCUGGUCUUCAAAAAUACCCAAAUCGACGCGUAUUUUGUCAUGCUAGUACUGAUCAAGAAGGUGUUGACUUGUACAUUCAGUUCACAUGGCCGAGAUAUUCACUUGUUUAACUUCACACUUAUUAAUUACAGUCCAGGAUCUGCUAAACCUUGCAAGUACAGGAGGAUGAGUGCUCUCUGUCCUACAAGUCAAAAAGGCCUCCAGGUCAAACAAUGCUUGCUGUCACUAGAAACCGAUCAAACUUAAAAUUCUGUGCGAAACCAUGUGCUUGAGAUUUCCCACUGAAAUACUCAUGUACGUGCUCUAUAAUUAUAAGUUUCUCCAGUUGAGUCUGUCUACUUUGUCAUGACUAAAUGAUUCAAAAAUAGGGAUUGCACCCCAUGACUGCCUUCUAUUUAGUUUAGAUCAAGCUAAAACUUGUUCCUGAAUUUCGUAGCCACUUAUAUGUUCAGUUGUGUGAUUUGCAGGCUGAGACCUUGCUAGAUUACUUGCGUGAGCAACGAGAAGGGGGCGGCUCCAGAGCUGGACCAGGCGGCGCAGCUACGAGCAUGGCUCGGUAACACGCUGGUCAUGCGACAAAGCUACGAGCUUGGCUAGGCAAUGCAACACUGAUAUGGUGAAAUGCAGAAAGUAAUGAUUGGUUUGUACUAGCAGGUAAACAUAAAUUCAUCGUUGCAGUAUUUGUUCCCACUUUGUAAUGAUGUCUACAACAUUUUAUUCACAACAUCUGUUCCCACUUUGUAUCUGUUCCCACUGAUUACCUGAUUGACCAUACGAAUUACAGCAACACCAACACUAGCUUAUGACUUGAAC
rnacentral:lncRNA from 1 species